UACGAAGGGGGCUAGCGUUGUUCGGAAUCACUGGGCGUAAAGGGCGCGUAGGCGGAUCUUUAAGUCAGGGGUGAAAGCCUGAGGCUCAACCUCAGAAUUGCCCUUGAUACUGAAGAUCUUGAGACCGGAAGAGGUAAGUGGAACUGCGAGUGUAGAGGUGAAAUUCGUAGAUAUUCGCAAGAACACCAGUGGCGAAGGCGGCUUACUGGUCCGGUUCUGACGCUGAGGCGCGAAAGCGUGGGGAGCAAACAGG
rnacentral:rRNA from 1 species